AUCCUUUUGUAGUUCAUAAGUGUGAUGACUGGGUGUUCACGCGCUUGUGUGACAUGUGCCUCCUUCCAACCUUGUGGCACAUUACCCAUCUGACA